CCUUCUUUGGUUCUGUUAGCACUCUUCAUGCCUGACAUGACGGGAGACAAAAGAUUGAGGCAGGACAUGAGGAUCCAUGUGGCUUUGGUAGAGCCUGAAGUCCAAGCAGAAAAUGGCAGCUAAACAUCUUCAACCUUCAGUGAUUGAUACGAAGAUUGUGAAGACAAUCCAUGUAAACACUUAGCAGAGUUUGGAACAUGGUAAACUGAAGGAGGAAGGGAGGAUUUCCUGUGAAAACAAUGUGUAACCCCGCUCAUCUGGUUAAUGUGUUUGGCUGGAUUCAACGUAACCAAAUGAAAAGGAAGAAUAGGAAAAAAAAAAUUGGUGAUAAGACAACUUCACAGAGGAGAAACUGGCCACCCAGCGAGAGGAGAAACCAAAGCAGUGUCCAGUUACUGAGAGAUGGAGAGACACGCAAUGGAUUAAGAAAGAGAGAAAGUGUCAUGAGCUAAGAAUAGAGAGACAAGCAUGGUCAAGAUGAAGUGUGGUCUUCUAGGGCACGUCAAGACUUUAUUUGAAAGUCAAUAGGAAGCCACGAAAGGUUUUAAGCAGUUCUUAGUUUGUGAUUUAUUCCUUUUUACUCUGAGGAGAUGUUCUCCAUAGGCUCAGUGAGUGAAAGUAGUGGUUUGGUCAAGGAUGAUGACAAUAAAAAUGGAAAGAAGUGAGUGAAUUUGAGAAAUAUUUAGAUUUGCAUUUUUUCUAUCAGCAGAGACCAACCUAAAAACCAUAGCGUGUGUUUUACAAUGUGGGCAGCUUGGUUUCUCAUACUAUCAUAUUCCACAUUCUUCCACAUUUCCAGUGGAUAAUUUCCCCCCUAUGGACUAUUAAACAACUUAGUGGAUGGUAUGGUUACGGAUAUUAACAUCGGAUGGUCUGUGCAGACUAUUCUAUA